UUUUAUUUCAUGUGAAGGUUAUUAUCCUAAAAUACGAAACUAUUGUAGAUUUGAUCAUGUAUAUGUAUGUACGUAUAUAUAUCUAUUCAUAGAUUCUGGGUAUCUCUUCUUUUUCAUUAUUGUGAUUCUUUUGCUCUAAUUUUGAAGUUGAAAGCAGGGAGAAGAAAUAAAAGGAGGGCCAUAGUGCAAUAAUGAGCGAUGGGCAACGCAUCUUACGUGGCGGUUGGAGGGGCUAUGGGUGGGAUUAUUUUAAUUUUAUUUCUUUAAAAAGAUAUUGGUAGAGGAGCGUGACGGUGAGCUGGCUACGCAACCGUAGGCCCCAUGUGGUUGUGCUGGGGACACGUCACCCAAGGACCAUGUACAACCGGCCCUUUUCCUUCCAGUGGGGACCACCCCCUAAGUACGUGUUCAGUUCCAUUUUCCUGACACAUGCUUGGGUGGCGGAGAUCCCCUCCUCCGCAUCAUAUUCUCCGUGGCGCUCUCCCCACCCUCCGAUCCUCUCCAUCUCCA
rnacentral:lncRNA from 1 species